CUCAUCAGGUCCCAUCGGACGGGCUGGAUGGCUUUCAGGCAGAGCCGGUGGACAUUAGAGGGCGUGUCAUCUCCAGCCAGGGUGGUCAGGUCGAUACAUGUGACGGCCUUCAGAAGCCAGGCGGCCUGCAGAUGACAGACACUGGUUCUUGAUUGCCUUGC